rnacentral:tRNA from 1 species
AAGCUAAUAACUUUAAUAGAUUUAUAUUUCGGCUAUAAAUAAAGUUAAAAUUUUUAACUUA